rnacentral:rRNA from 1 species
ACUAGGAAUUUUGCGCAAUGGGGGCAACCCUGACGCAGCGACACAGCGUGGAGGAGGAAGGUCUUCGGAUUGUAAACUCCUUUUAUAUGGGAAGAAUAGAUGACUGUACCAUAUGAAUAAGCACCUGCUAACUACGUGCCAGAAGCAUCGGUGAUGCGUAGGGUGCGAACGUUAUCCGGAUGUAUUGGGCGUAAAGAGAUGCGUAGGCGUUUCAGUUAGUCUUUCGUUAAAAGUCACGGCUUAACCGUGAAGAUGCGUUGGAUACUGCUGAAAUUGAGGCAUGAAGGGGUGAACGGAACUCCAAGUGGAGCGGUGAAAUGCGUUGAUAUUUGGAAGAACAUCAGAGGCGAAGGCGGUUCACUGGUCAUUGUCUGACGCUAAGGCUCGAAAGCGUGGGUAGCAAAACGGAUUAGAAACCCUAGUAGUCC